GCAACGGUAAGUAAGUAAAAAGGUAAAAGUUAAUUGCUGUUCGUCUUUUAGAAUAUAUUGUGCAAAUUACUAUUCUGCCUUUUUCCUUCAUAAAUAGCAUUUGGGAACUUAAAGGUGAGUGACGAAUUAAUGUUUUCAGUUAAAUGAAUUUACUUAAGAAAGAAAAAUAAGUUCCAUUAGUUAUUUUACCAUUUCUACAAACUUUUAAUUUUCUGUAUCG
rnacentral:lncRNA from 1 species